rnacentral:rRNA from 1 species
CGGGUGAGUAACACGUAUCCAAUCUGCCGUCUACUCUUGGACAGCCUUCUGAAAGGAAGAUUAAUACAAGAUGGCAUCAUGAGUUCACAUGUUCACAUGAUUAAAGGUAUUCCGGUAGACGAUGGGGAUGCGUUCCAUUAGAUAGUAGGCGGGGUAACGGCCCACCUAGUCUUCGAUGGAUAGGGGUUCUGAGAGGAAGGUCCCCCACAUUGGAACUGAGACACGGUCCAA